CUGCUGCCUCCCGUAGGAGUCUGGUCCGUGUCUCAGUACCAGUGUGGGGGACCUUCCUCUCAGAACCCCUACGCAUCGUCGCCUUGGUGGGCCCGUUACCCCCGCCAACUAGCUAAUGCGCCGCAUGCCCAUCCUCCGCCGGAAUCGCUUCCUUUUAACACCCGUGGGAUGCCCCACAGAUGUACCACGCGGUAUUAGUCCGGAUUUCUCCGGGUUAUCCCCUGCGGAGGGCAGGUUGCAUACGUGUUACUCACCCGUGCGCCGGUCGCCGG
rnacentral:rRNA from 1 species